rnacentral:lncRNA from 1 species
UUUUUUUAAUGAAAAGAAAUAUAAAAAAAAUGAAAAUUCGGCAAAAGAUUCGGCUCUGAUACCACAAGUUGAAAUUUUAUUGGAAACUAAUAUCGUACCUUUUGCCAUGAUUUCGAUUUUUGUACCCGAUUUGUAGACGGUAAUUUUUGCUCGUGGUUCGUCCUCGUUCGCGAUCUGCAAGAAAACGGAACGUUUCGAGUCUAAUUCCCGUAUCCCCGUAAAUGGAGCCGUCACAAAAAAUUAGAUUAGGGUUAGACCGGACUCCUGUAUGUUAUACUUUUAUAUAUAACUUAAUGUAAGGAUGUUAAAUCACGUCCGUCCAUUAAGGAUGUAUCCAGAUACAUCCUAACCGUAAGAUCUAUCGUAUCUUUAUAGAUUGACUUAAAUAGAUUGACCAUAUCUUUAUGGAUCGCCUUGAAUAUAUCACGUGGGCCACAUCCAACAAGGUUCACAUACCAGCUCAGACCGAAUAUUGUGUUUCCCAUAC